AUUUAAUGGUCCGUGGACAGGAGGGGAAGGGCAGAACAUCGCUGCGUUAUUCAUGAUAUCCUGCAGUGUGAUUGGCUCAGCAGAGCCGUAUUCAAAACAGGCAGGCAGGGUAGCUUGGGUUAGAUUUGAGUUUGCAGCUCGACGCUUUUUGUGAGUUACAUCAGAAAGGACUGCAACCUCUCUGAAUAUGGAACUACAACAUUUUGAUUUACAAACAGCAGGAAAAUAAAUUUUACCCAAUACUUUCUGCACAUGAACAUCUGGUUACAAUUUUAAACAAAUAUAUCCAGGGACCCAUUAACUUGUUAUAAAAAUUUUAUUCAGAAUAAAACAAUGUAGCCAUAUUACACGUAGUGUGGUGAAUCUAUUCUACAUACCUCAGGCGAAAACGACACAGUUCUGCAAUGGUUCGCUUUUUGUUCAAGAUAAUAAACGCUACCACAUCGACACACUCAUCAUAAACAUCAUCGUCGUCGCCUCGUUCCUCUGUCCACGGUCGGAGGAGAAGACAUAGUAGUGUUGUUAAACCUCACACGUUUUUUUUUUUUUUUUUUACAGGAUAGCAUGUAGCACAACACAACGACACAACAAUGUGAGGAAUACAGUGCUUAAUUUGCCAGUGGAAUUAAAAACGCCAAAAAUGUGUCACUCCUCACGCGGGAUGAAGGGUUGUUAGCUUCAGCAGGCCACCGAACCAUUGUGGCGAUACAGUAAUAACGAACGAUGUUGUUGUUGUUGCAGUGUACAUCGAUACAGUAAGCACGAGCUUGGAAUGCUAAUGCGAGGGGGGUGUUCUGCGUCUAGCGCUGGUUGGUCAAAGGAAACUAUGUCACGGACCACGCAGACAAAACUGUGUCAGUGAUUCUGAGGUAGCAAGGCAAUCAUGGCUUUCGUUCUGAUUUUUCAAACAUAGACUUUAUGUAAUUUUAUUUUCAUAUAAAACUGCUCUACAUGGUGAGUUAGGGGCCGGUUGAAAACCCUUUUUCAACAUUUAAGGUUCAAAUUAAAUCUAUAUUCUUCCAUAAAACCUCUUCACUUUGUACACAUUCCCACUUUAAUGUCAGCAUCUAAGUCUUCCACACUUGGAAUGACAACUGUAUAGGCACAGGAGGGGUGCGAGUUCAACAAAAUCGCGGUCGCUACGGCGAUAGCAACGGUCACACCGAGGAAUUAAAGGGGAACUCUGACAUCAACAUGCGCCACGAUCAGCCAUCGAUACCCAAGUCAUAGAAAAAUAAAAUAGAGAAAACAGUUUGCGGAGCUUCACACAGGGUAAAUACAUGAUUGUAAUGAAGGGUUGGUCUCACUCGUCAUAAAGAAUUGUACUCCCAAACUUGGAACAUGAACCUCAACAGUGUGACAGUAAUGGGUAAGCGGGGCGGAAAGGGGGGAGGCCAAACACACAGAAUUAAAAAGAUGGACAAUGUAACAAUUUGAUUCCCAGUGAAAACAAGAAAAAGAAAUAAACAUAUUUUUCUAUACAAACCCCAAACCUAGGAUAUCAUCGGAAUAUGCGUACAAAUCCCAUAGAAAUGUUAGGCCAACUUCAGGUUCACUCCACAGUUUUAUCAAAUGUACAAGUAUUGCAUAGUACACAACAACAUAGGGGAUAGCAGUUCUCUGGUCCUGUGUGUCUUUGGGUUUCUGGGUGCAGAAUCUCUAACUUGGUAUUGGUUCUCGGGGCUUGUGGGGGCGGGGCCUGAAGCUCCACCUACUCCUUCAGUACGGAGCCGAGGCGCGGAGAUGGAGAGGAGGCCGGCGUGUUCGGGAGAGUUACGGCCUUUUUCCAAAGUCACACUUCAAUCGCCUUUCGCCAACACACACAAACACUACACACACGCGUGCGCGCGCACGCACUCACGCACAUACUCUCCCCUCUAGGUGGCUGCCCUCACAUCACCUGUGAAUCACAAAGAGAAUGGGAGAUAUUGGAUCAGCAGCCUACACAAUGGAGCUGGAAACACAUACCUGGAUAAAGAGAGAGCACAGCUCUGCAUGCUCAUUCUGGGCACCUCCGCAUGCACCCACCCACCUCAUCUAGAGCAGGUUUCUUCAUGAGUGUGAGCAGGUGUUUGUGUAUGUGUGUGCGGGGAUGUGUUGGCACAAUUGCUUGAAAUGCAUUUUGUACACACACACACACACACACACACACACACACACACACACACACACACACACACACACACACACACACACACACACACACACACACACACACACACACACACACACACACACACACACAAUUUGGUUCCCAAAAAAACCUCAAACUCAAUAUAACACUGGCUGGCAGGCGGUCCAUUUUGACCAAGGUGUUACAAGGACAAUUUACUAGAGGAUGGCACUUUUGAACUUGGAGUAGAAAACACAGAGCGAAAGAGGACAGAUCAAUUAAACUUAAGACGAAACUACAUCCGUUUUUAUACUUUUUUUAACUUGUGUUUUUCAAAGCAGUUAUUUUGCCUUUUCGGGAAACCCCCCCAAAAAAAAAUAAAUAUUAUUUGAAGGCUUGCUGAGUUGCCUUGGGUACAGGGCGUCUGUUCGAGCCCCUUUGGCAGAGCGCUGUUGAGAUAAAGAGGCAGGUGGGAGCGGAGGAUUCAGGCCUGGUUCUACUGGAAGGUUUCUGGCCCCAGCCCGCUCUCCACCACCAGGCAGAAUAUGAAUAUGAACCGGUCAGAUAAGGACCAGGGAGGGUUACACAAAGUUUGCAAUAACUCUCCUGGAACUGAUGUGCAAAGGAUGAAGAGGAGGGAAGAGUGAGGAGGAGGUGGACAAAUUGUCGGGGGGAAAACUAUAAAAACAGACCGGCGAAGAGAGUGGCACAGAAUGAACAAUAAAUUCGAGCAAAUAUGUGAACCAAAAAAAAAGAAAAAGAGGCAAAGAAUAGUUAUUAUUGGUGGGUUGUGGGGACCUCAUUUUAAACAGAGAGGACUGAGUGGAAGGAGGGCUCAGACGGUGCACAAAACAAUUACGGUGGCAUUAAAGGUGGCAAAAAAAACAACAACAGCGUGCCGGCUCUGCACCACUCCGUGACCCCUGACCCCUCAGACGGCGCCGGGGGAGAUGAAACAUAAUGGUGGUCCCUAGGGAUCCAUUAGCCAUCUCCUUCUCACAAGGCAACAACAGCACAGGAGGGGCUGCUGCUAUUAACUGUGGCUUUCCUUUCUGACAGCAGCAGUGGUUAGCCUCUUGGGGGGGUGGCACGUGAGCUGCUGGAUAUCCAUUUGUAUCCACUAUUAAGUAUCAUUAGAGAUAUUUCCUCAUUCAAAUCAAACUGAAAGUAAAGAAAAAAAUGUUUUUGGGCGGAAAUGCAAGCAGCAAAUUGGGCCCGUGUCUAUAGUUACAAGAUCGUUUUUUUCUGUUAGUUAAGUUUAUGAGUAUUAUUGGUAAGCGAAAGGGUGUGUUCUUGGAAUUUGCCUGACAUGGGCAUUUAUGAACUGAGGAACAACUUGCUGCCAUCCAAAGAGUUUGAGGAUGUCGAUAAACCUUUACGAAAUGAAAACGUCACCGGACAGCUGACCUGCCUCCGUUGACCUGCGCCAACCGCCCACUCAAAUCAUCUUGUUCCGUCUAAGGUCAAUUUGUUCUCCAUUAAUCAGCGAGUUGACCGUGGUGGCGAGGUCGUAGCGUCCGCGAAGUGAAACAGAACGAAAGGCGUCUCUGGUACUUUUGCGAGGGUCAAAUGGAGGUUCAUCAGCAGAAAGAUGACGAUAUAAAAAAAUGUAAUCUAAGAAGUGAUUUUGUCAGGUAUACAUUGCUCCAGCUUUUGAGGUGCCGUUUUGACAUUUUGUUGAAACCCCCACUGUGCCCCAAACUUUAACACUUAAGCCAUCACUUUUGUUCAAACGUACAAAAGUUCGGCAUCAGUUGUGUUAUUUGAGUUUCUAGCGCUCAGAACCCACCCACCCACCCACGACACGAUGAACCCGGGCAUCCUUUCUCGCUCUAACACGAUUGGGGGGCGGUGGAGAAAUAUGAGAGAAAAUCACAUUUUGAACAAAAGUGAUGGCUGCAGUGAAAAAGUUACGUUGUGCCGGUUUAACGUUGGUUUGAAAACUUGGAAAUAAAUAUGUCAAGGGACUUCAAGAAUGAAUAAUAUUUUUCUGCUAUGGAAUAAAAUCACAAUAUUAGCUCUAAAAUGCUGCUCGACCUGAACCAUGACAAACCACUGAACGCAGAUAGUUUUGGUUAAGAAAUGGAUCACAUUGGAACAUUCCUCUUUUCUCUUCUCUUCAAGUGCAGCAUGCAUGGAGGUCCCUUCGCCUUGCCGAAGGGACCUCUGUAUUCAACUCUUUUUCUCCUCUCUUCGUGUUCGGUUUUUCUCUCGGUUUGACGGUAGGGUUGAGUCUGAGACCCCGACCUCUGGACCUCUGGAUUCGUCGCUGAGGUAACUUUGAGUGAACGGCGACCAUGGUGCUCACAAUGCCCUCACACGGUGGCUGCCACGGCAGUGAAGGGGACGGUGACCAUGAAAACAAACUUUUCUGUACUUUCCCAAAAUGGUGGGUUGUACCGGAACACGGCGGAGAAAGACUGUGAUCUCACCUGUGGUCUGGAGGAGAGGCUUGAGGCUGGAAAACAGCAGACAACAAAAAACAUAUUACCAUUUCAGGGAUUAAAAGAUAAAUAUAUUUUUGUCCACCUGAUAACGCAUGCCCACUUGCCUGCACGCACGCACGCACACACAUUACACUAUUGAUACUCAGUCCUAACGCUGGGUUGUUAGACAGCAGCAGGCACGAGAUGAUCGAUUUUUGACUAAAUCCCUGACUUAUUGCAACCCAAAAUUUAGUGAGGCGGUGUGAAAGGCGGUCUUAUACCAGAAAUAUGUAUUUUAAUACACAGCCUUUGGGAUGUCGUGCUCGGCUGCCUAUGAGAACGAUUAAAAAAAAAAAAACGCUUUUCUUUUUUAACCGCAUUAUGAAGAGGCAGGGACACGACUCCCAUGGUGACGGUGGCAACGCAGUGGCUGCCUUCUGAUUGGCCGAUGGCGGCAUUCAUGUUUAUGUUUGCAUCUGUCAGUGGAGCCGGUUACAAUGACGCAAUCGCUGUUGUCAUGGAAAUCUCACCAAAAACUAGCUUCAGUGGUUUGUAUGAGCAUAUCAAUAUCUAUAAAUAAUACAAUUUCUGAAGAAAGGCACACAAACACACACUUUUCACAAAGUUAAAACCUGAACAAGGACGGUGUGUGUAUGUGUGUGUGCGUUUGUGGGUUGUAAUAAAGAGAGUAGGGAAGGUGCUAGUGCGAUGCUGGGACAGCUAUGGGCCAGUGGAUAUUAAACGGAUACUUCAAUGAUAGACUUGACCACUGAUGGAUUACUACAGCGUUUCAUCAGCCCCCCCGGUCUCCUCUCCCUCUGACCUUGUUUAUUCAUUAUGGUAAUAUUGGUCUGGUCACGUCUACCUUGUAGACAAACCUUAAGUAGUUAAACCAGAAUAAAUUAACAAAAGUGCGCCUUAGAGGAAAAUGAUUAUUUCUUGGCCAGAUUCCUUUUAGAGAAAUAGAGCUGUAACUUUUAGUCAGAUUUGGCCAAUUGGUUGCCGGGUAUUCAUCAGUAAACAACAGACAUUACCUUACCUACUGCCGAGACCGAUGGCUUAACCAUAUAUCUUAUCUCUGCUAAGGGGCUAAUGCAAAGUAUGCUAACAAAAGUAAAGUCGGUUGUGGAACUGCUGUUUAAGAGGAACAUAAACUUACGACUGCAUGCAGGGAAGCUGUUGUUUAUCUGCUCCAUCACUUCUGCAAGGUCAGAGCUGCUGUCCUGGGGGUCUAGAAGCUCUUCUGCACACACACACACACACACACACACACACACACACACAC
ensembl:lncRNA